GAUGAACGCUAGCGGCAGGCCUAACACAUGCAAGUCGAGGGGCAUCGCGGUGCAGCAAUGCACUGGCGGCGACCGGCGUACGGGUGCGUAACGCGUAUGCAACCUGCCCCGCACCGGGGGAUAGCCCGCCGAAAGGCGGAUUAAUACCCCAUGGUCCCGGGGGCCCGCAUGGGCAUCCGGGUAAAGCCUUGGCGGUGCGGGAUGGGCAUGCGUGCCAUUAGCUGGCUGGUGGGUAACGGCCCACCAGGGCAACGAUGGCUAGGGGGUCUGAGAGGAUGGUCCCCCACACUGGUACUGAGACACGGACCAGACUCCUACGGGAGGCAGCAGUGAGGAAUAUUGGUCAAUGGGCGGAAGCCUGAACCAGCCAUGCCGCGUGCGGGAUGAAGGCCCUACGGGUUGUAAACCGCUUUUCCCCGGGAAGAAUAACCCCGAUGAGUCGGGGAUGCCGGUACCGGGGGAAUAAGGAUCGGCUAACUCCGUG
rnacentral:rRNA from 1 species